rnacentral:rRNA from 1 species
GACGAACGCUGGCGGCGUGCCUAAUACAUGCAAGUCGAACGCAUUUUCUUUCACCGUAGCUUGCUACACCGAAAGAAAAUGAGUGGCGAACGGGUGAGUAACACGUGGGUAACCUGCCCAUCAGCGGGGGAUAACACUUGGAAACAGGUGCUAAUACCGCAUAAUUCCAUUUACUGCAUGGUAGAUGGAUGAAAGGCGCUUUUGCGUCACUGAUGGAUGGACCCGCGGUGCAUUAGCUAGUUGGUGGGGUAACGGCCUACCAAGGCUGCGAUGCAUAGCCGACCUGAGAGGGGGAUCGGCCACACUGGGACUGAGACACGGCCCAGACUCCUACGGGAGGCAGCAGUAGGGAAUCUUCGGCAAUGGACGCAAGUCUGACCGAGCAACGCCGCGUGAGUGAAGAAGGUUUUCGGAUCGUAAAACUCUGUUGUUAGAAAAGAACAAGGAUGAGAGUGGAAAGUUCAUCCCUUGACGGUAUCUAACCAGAAAGCCACGGCUAACUACGUG